GUGAAGUGGUGGUGUGAGUGUGUUUGUGUGAGUGUGUUUGUGUGAGUGUGUUUGUGUGAGUGUGUUCGUGUGAGUGUAAAAGUAUGAAAGCGUGUCACUAAUGUAGGCGCCGCCAGUAUAAAUAAGGCUGCCCGGCGGUCCGGUGCAGAUGGUAUAAAACCUUGUAUGCUGGCCUAUAUAAAAAUGAACAAUUUUCGGCAAUGUUAUUUAACAUUGCAAAGCCAGUCGAAUAAAUACAGCUGCCCGUCGAAGCUGAGCUUCAGUUGAAGCUGCGCGGCGGAAUAGUGCGGUUGAAGUGGUAGUGUGGAUGUGGUUGUUGAGUGUGUAAAAAUAUGAAAGCGUGUCAUUAAUCUACGCGCCAGCAGUAUAAAUAAGGCUGCCCACUAAAGCUUGGUUUCAGUUGAAGCUGCGCAGCGGUCCAUUGCAGAUGGUAUAAACGUUGCCAGUCGUAUAAAUACAGCUGCCCGUCGAAGCUAAGCCUCAGUUGAAGCUGCGCGGCGGACCGGUACAGUUGAAGUGGUAGUGUGAAUGUGGUUGUGUGGUUGUAUAAAAAUAUAAAAAGCAUGUCAUGCAAGCAAGAACUUAAGUAGCUAGCAGUAUAAAUAAGGCUGCCCGCUAAAGCUAAGUUUCAGUUGCUGUUGCGAGACGCAGUACAGAUGGUGUGAAUGUAAUUGUUGUAUAACAAUUUAAGGAGCAUAAUAUGAAUGUUUGCCCGCAAAGACAAUUGACCCUGCGCAAUAUGAAUGUAAUAUAUGUACACACAUACGUCAGAUGAGGAGCAAGCAGUAUAAAUUGGGAUUACAACAGAGAUGCGGACUCAGUUGGAGUUGGAGAGCUGUUCAAAAACGUUUGCCUGCUGGCGUUGGCGUUGCUUACACAUACCACUCCUUGACAUCCUUGGAGUCGCGCUUCUUGGCCUUCGGCUGUACCAGGCCAGCCAUCUGG
rnacentral:sRNA from 1 species